CGGUCUGCGGACAGGUGAAGUCCAUGAGUCGAUGAGUGCUAUGACACUUUGCAGCCACAGAACAGCAGUGUUCUGUUCUGAGUGGAGCUGCCUGCACCCAGAUUGUCUGGUUGCUGAAGAAAAGCUGGUUUCUGGGGAGCUCUGCCAUCACCGCAUCUUCUGGGAGCUACUACACAGCCGGCUGGCAAACACUGCUGGAAUCCAGAGAGGGUUUCCACUUUCUCUGGAUGGAUGUGGUACAGGGAAGGUAAUUUUUCUCUUCCCUUUGUGGGUGCACAGCAGUGCUGGAAGGCAGGAGGAGACCCCGACACUGUUUGUGUGCUGCAGGAAAGUGCAGCCUUUUUGGCAUCCAAGUGAAAAUGUUGGCUUUUGAAUGCAGGUUUGGAAGUGCUGUUGUUAGAUACCCUUUUGUCUUUCCUAUUGCUCAGAGGAGGACUGCUGCUCUGCCCUGCAAUGACCUGUUUCUGCAAUAUUUUCUGCCCAAGCAAUAAUAAAACCAGAGAGAGGGAGAAAUGUAGGCAGUGAUAAAUGCAUUUUAGCAGCACAGAUGGUAUCUGUGGCAUCAGAUCUCCUUUCUAAGGCCUCUUGUCCGUAGCUUGCCCACCAGGUGUCCCUCUAGGUGGGAUCCCCACCCCUCCAUGCUGGGUGCUCCCACACUGCCUCGGGCCCCAGCUGCUACUUCUGCUGAGCGUAGGGUACCCUCCAUUUCCCUGGCAAGGGGCAUGUUUUCCUUGUGAGCUCUCCACGCUUUGUUCAUGCAAAUGAAAUCAUUUUAUUCUGACGGAGGGCUCUGAGCUGCAGCCAGCUUAUUGUUUUAGAAAUAAAGAUAUUAGUAUGCAAAUGACUUUGGAAGGUGUUUCUUCUCAUUAGAGAAUGGAGAUCAUUUGAUAAAGGGUGCAGUGCUCUUCAUCAGUAAAAAGGCUCAGCAAAUUUGUCUUGUCUCAACAGCAUUCUAACUACGAGACCGAUCGGAUAAUGCAGAAAAGAAAGCACAGGAGACAAAUGGUUUAUGACACUCCGGUUACCUUUACUGUGCAAGGUGGGCGUGAAAUUUUUUAUGGUGAGACAAAAAAGAUGAUGGGCAAUUAACUACAAACUCUUGCAGCAGGUUUAUCAUAUGCUCGGCUCAUCCAUCUGUGUCUCAGUCUCCGGUGGACUCAUGAGUUUCAUCAAGAAAACCAUUUUCAAACCAGCAGACCAAAACAGAUCGUUUUCAACUCCCAGCCUCAUCGAGGCUUUGCAGUAGUUUUGCCUCGUGUUUACGAUUUAUGGAUGCAACAGGAACACAGAGCAGACAGAAGAUCUCCCCAUUGCAGGGUGUUGCCUUCAAACACUGCUCAUUCAGUGACCAUUAACCUUGCAAGAAGAAUCAGCAAGCAGAUGUUCCGUUACAAUAGGAACAAAUGGUAAAUGAUGGCAUUAAAGGUAACUUUCCAUUACUUUUGGUGAUGUGAACCAGAACUACUUUUAAAUAAUGACUGGCACCAGCCAAUAAAAACAGAAAUCUUUACCCAAGAAUGAGCAGUAAUUGCUGUGAUUUUGCUGAGAAAUGAGACCUCCUAUAAGAGAGAAACGUGGUUUUGAACAUGGAGGAAAAAGCAGGAGUUCAUUUCAGGGAAGUCCUAAUUCUUUAUGGACGUUUUCUCCCUAGCUUCCUGCAAAACAGGGUUACUACACUUGCUUAUUGUCAGGGUAAUUACUUCAAAUGGAAUUGGAGAUUAAAAGCGGACAUCCAGCACUGCACCCUUUACCUUCCCUGCCCCUUCCAUGCAACUACAGGGCUGGGAUCAUUUCCUCCAGAAACACUUGGUGGAAAUAUCUCGGAUGUACCAAUGUCUGGGAAGGGAACAUCGUAUUUUCAGCAUUUCUUCUGCGCCUCUCAGCUACCCCAUGCCACCGAGGAUGGAGCCAACCACCAACACUGCUGCCAAAGCAAUGAAUUCUUUCAUCAGCUCCUAAGUGCCAUCAGUGCUCACGUGUCAUACGGCCUCAGCACUCCGUGUUCAGCCCUAACGUGAGUGCUUGGCUAUUUGCAGUGCACCAAAAUCAAUAGGCUGGGAAUGAGUCACGUUAACUCACGUUUUGUUUUUGCUGUGUAGAAUUCUCUUUCACCAAAGGAACUUCAGCUCUGCGACAAAAAGUCGUUGCUGACGCACUUUAAUUAAAAUGGAGGGCUGGCUUGAAGAUUGCUUCCAUGUUAACACGCGGCAGUAACACGAUGGAAGUGAAAAAGCACAGAGAAGUUGGGAAGAGAAGGGAGAAAUAAAUGCUGUCUGUACUACGAAAAUUUGCCUCUACGUUAAUUCUUGGAGACAAAUUCAAUUUGACCAGCUUCAGAAUCCAAGCAGGUUACUUUGGGAAAUGUCCUACCUGAGAAAUUCCUUGAAGGUACAGAUCCAUUGGAAGUGCUCUUGUAAUUACUGUUAUGUUGUUGCCUCUAUGCUGGAGCAUGGGACUGUGUUCACAUCAUCAUUCCUUAUGCUGCAAGUUCAAUAGUGUC